rnacentral:rRNA from 1 species
ACUACGGGAGGCAGCAGUGGGGAAUAUUGCACAAUGGGGGGAACCCUGAUGCAGCGACGCCGCGUGAGUGAAGAAGUAUUUCGGUAUGUAAAGCUAUAUCAGCAGGGAAGAAAAUGACGGUACCUGACUAAGAAGCCCCGGCUAACUACGUGCCAGCAGCCGCGGUAAUACGUAGGGGGCAAGCGUUAUCCGGAUUUACUGGGUGGAAAGGGAGCGCAGACGGCGGUGCAAGUCUGGAGUGAAAGGGGGGGGCCCAACCCCCGGACUGCUCUGGAAACUGUAAAGCUGGAGUGCAGGAGAGGUAAGCGGAAUUCCUAGUGUAGCGGUGAAAUGCGUAGAUAUUAGGAGGAACACCAGUGGCGAAGGCGGCUUACUGGACUGCAACUGACGUUGAGGCUCGAAAGCGUGGGGAGCAAACAGGAUUAGAUACCCGGGUAGUC